rnacentral:tRNA from 1 species
GCUGGUGUUGCUAAAUGGUUAGAGCGUUGGCCCUCACACGGAAGGUUCAAUUCCCGGUCAAGGGCACCUACCUGGGUUCCAGGUUCAAUCCCUGGCUCUGGUG